GUCCAUACGUUUUAGUACAAGAGCUGUCAUGUGAGAAGUGUCCAAAUUUACUGUGAACGAAAAACUGAAAUAAUGCCGUUUGGAUUUAUACUCAUAACUGGACUACUGGCGUUCGGAGCAUAUUGGACGACGAAGUAUUUAAUGAGCAUGCCGAUGCCGUCAACUAUCCCGCCAAUAUCAUCAACAUCACCACCUCCAAGCAGCAUUUGAGCCUUUGAACGCCGCGUCGUGAAUGUGGUCCAGCUGUCCCCUCUCACCACUUCUUAGUAAUGUUAUCGCAGAUGUGGAAAAGAGACGGCGCUAUAUAGCAAGUAUUGCGUUGUCUCGCUUUCGCAACUGGCUUCCUUAAGGAUAUGACGGCAGGCCUGCAGAUCAUUCUCUACGGCACGGCGUUCAUAAUGAUCCAGAAUGAUCCCCCUACAAUGAUUACAAUUAUGUUAUGGCUCGUUAUGCUGCAUGUUUUUGAAUAAGUUUUGUUAAUUAUAUUUUUUGGACUAAG